ensembl:lncRNA
CCACCCACACUCCCCGCCCCGCGCCUCCGCCCGCACGUCCGCACGUCUCGGGCUGCAACUUGGGGAAGUUUUUUCCUUUUCCUUUUUUUUUUUUUUUUUUAAGUUGAGUUUGUUAUCACUGCUCGGUGCCACUUGGUGGUGUGCUGGCGGCGUCUCCCUCCCUCCUCGCGCCCCUCCCCUCUUCCUCUCCCCUCCCUCCCGCCUCUCUUCCCUCCCCAGUGGACGGAGGCAGGAAGGCUCCAGGCGCGCUCUCCCCUCUGACCACCUACGGAAUGACCUCAGAGUGGGAGAAUGUGCCAAGGCCCCGAGGAAGCUCGCGUUCUCCCCACUGCAACCAAAUUCACAUCUGGAGCCGCGCCUUCGGCCCGGGGGCGCGCGGGGCGGUUCCAGUUUGAGAGGGGUUAGGAAAGAAAGACUGAAGGAAAAAAAGAAAGAAAGAAAAAAGUGGCAGCUUGCUUUCUAUUUGACAGUGUCUGUCCCUCUCCCUCUCUCUCCCUCCCUCUCUCUCUCUCUCUCUCUCUCUCUCUCUGUCUCUCUGGUAGUCUCCCCAAAGCUCUCUCGCUCUUUCUCCGCCCUGCGCUCCCCUUUGCUGCGCGAGUCGCCCUGCAGGACCAUUCACGUCUCCCAUCACCCCCGAAGCCUCCCGCAGGGAGAGGAGGAGCUGCCGCCAAGAGGCCCUCACCCCAGGCUCCAAGAGGCGGACGCGAGCCAGUCCCAGGAGCCUGCUGGGCUGUGGGUCCUGGUGUCGCGCGACGCGAAGAAACAAGAAAGCUCGCCCGAAGUCAUGUGACGAAGAAGCGGCGGGUCGUACGGUUGGAGUUCACAGUCUAGUGGAGAAAAAUUCAUAACAUACUACAAUACGGGCUGGCAGAUGACCCUGACGCUAUCUAAAUAGUACCAUUGGUAAGUGCUGGCGGAACCCAGACUAGCAAACUGGGAGCACACCCCCCCAACGCUUCAUGCUCUGGGUCAAGGGAUGGAAAGACACCUGGGACAGUGGUGUCUGUGUCCCACCCCACCCGGGGCAGGGACUGACUAGAACCAGCUUGGGCAAAAGGUGGGAUUUCUUGGCUCAUGGCACUGAACUGUAGAGUGGGCAGGGGUGCAGCUGGCUUCAGGUACAGUUGGAUCCAGGGACAAAUCUGCCUCCCGCCACUUUAUUUAAAAAUUUAAAUAAAGAAAGAAAGUGGCCAAGCCCA